AGACCCCGACCCUGCUCCCGGGACCCCGGGCAGGAGCGCGGGCCGGGAGGGGAGCAGGGCGCGGGGCUCGGGUCGCGGGUGGGGAAGGGGCGGGAGGGUCCGGCUGGGCCACGCGGGGACGCGGCUUCCCCGGUGCCGCCCCCGCCCUCCCCGCGGAGCCCGGUUCCCUCCCGACCCCGCACUCACCCGCGCGGGUCUGGGUCGGGGCCAGGGCGGCCGCCAGCAGCAGGAGCAGCGUGUGUGGGGCCAUCGCCCCCAUUUUAGCUCCAGGGCGACUCUGACUUCCGUGAUUUGGGACUUUACAGCCGGUGACCGCGGUGACGCUGAUUGGUUCUUCGGGAUCUCGUCACCCAAUGGGAGUGAGAAACGCAAACUUGUCAUCAGUGUCCGGGCAGAAGGACCUGAGCCAGGUCCACACGGAGAUCUCUAGAUUAUGGAAUGAAGAUCCGUGUAAACACAAGCACCUGGAGCCACAGAUGAUCAUCUGGGAAGAAACACUAGGAGUCUGAGUGUAAGCCCAAGACUGUGAAGACAUGAUCCUGAGUGAAGAGGCAAAGUCUCUAUUUACAGUUUUCAGAGACGUUGAGUCCAGGAUGCCAGAGGAAGGUAUGGUGGCAGGAACAGCUGAGAGCUCACAUCUUGAUCCACAGGCAAGUGUUAGAGACAAUGGGAAUAGUGGGAGUCUUUAAAACCUCCAUGCCCAGCCCCAGUGACACACCUCCUCCAACAAGGCCACACCUCCUAAUCCUUACCAAACAGUUCCAUCAACUGGAACUCAAGUAUCCACCCCCUGAACCUCUGUGGCCAUUCUCAUUCAACCCCCCACAGUAUUCAGUGUGGGAUGUCAGAUGCCCUGCAAGGCUCUGCAGAUGUGUCCACUGUGGUCUGUAGACAAACACCGUCAAGCAGGAGGACCCCACAGCACUAUGAUCUCCUCCUUUGCUUCUGUCACCUCCUGCCCAGUCCUCUGCCUUCUCCCUCAGGCCUCACCCCAGCAGUGCCCAGCACCCCUGACUCCAGAGCUCUGCACUAACACUGUCUCUUCCUUUGCAUCUAGUUUCUCUCUGUGGUCAGCCAUCUUGUCAGCCAUCUUGCUGUGAGCCAGGCUGUGUGGUUUCCUUAUGUAAAAGCUACAAUAGGGGCUGGAGAGGUGGCUCAAGGUAAGGAGCACCUGUUGCUGUUGCAGAGGAUCUAGGUUUAGUUCCCAGCACCCACAUGGUCCUUCACAACCAUCUGUGACUCCAGUUCCAGGGGAUCCAGUGCCUGGUGCACCUGCAUACUCAUAAGCUUAAAAUAUACAUCAAA